GGCACUUUCAUUAGAUUCAUUCGUGUAAUGCUAAAGAUUGAGGGAGCAGGUAUAUGUUUGGUAAUGAUUGAGGGAGCAGGUAUGUUUGGUAAUGAUUGAGGGAGCAGGUAUGUUUGGUAAUGAUUGAGGGAGCAGGUAUGUUUGGUAAUGAUUGAGGGAGCAGGUAUGUUUGGUAAUGAUUGAGGGAGCAGGUAUGUUUGGUAAUGAUUGAGGGAGCAGGUAUGUUUGGUAAUCAUUGAGGGAGCAGGUAUGUUUGGUAAUCAUUGAGGGAGCAGGGACGUUUGGUAAUGAUUGAGGGAGCAGGUAUGUUUGGUAAUGAUUGAGGGAGCAGGGACGUUUGGUAAUGAUUGAGGGAGCAGGUAUGUUUGGUAAUGACUGAGGGAGCAGGGACGUUUGGUAAUGACUGAGGGAGCAGGGACGUUUGGUAAUGAUUUGUACCACUUCCUCGUUGAUUUGUUCAAACAUGGUACACA